rnacentral:sRNA from 1 species
GAAUCACAGAAUUGCCUCACAUCUGUCACUCCGCUGAUCACCAGGGUUGAUUCAGCUGAUCUGACUGGCUAGGUGUGUGUUCCCUGCCUCCCUUACUCCAUGUAUGGCUCUCCUGAAGCUGAAAAAUGAUAGCCUUCUGCAGUAGAGACAUACCAUUCAUCAGUCUCUUAUCUCCGGUCCCCAUUAGCUUCAUUGUACAAAUUCUUGCUAGGAGUCCUGCAUUCUCCAUAACAUUUCUGUACAG